AAGGCUAUACAGAAACUGUCCAACACUUGGAUCUUGCACUGUUGCUGAAUGUGGUUAUUAGCUCCAAGAGAUUUUUUAAAAAAAAUAUUGUGGGGUUUUCUUUAUAAAGGAUAGUAUCAUUUACAAAUACUUCCUGCUUUUCAAUUUAGAUGACGUUUCCUUUCCUGCCUAAUUUAUCUGGUUAAAAUGUCUGAUACACUGUUGAAUAGAAGAGGCAAGGGCACAUGUUCAUGUCUUGUUCCUGAUAUUGGGAGAAAGCAUCCCGUUUUUCACCAUAGAAACGGGGUUUCGCCGUGUUAGCCAAGAUGGUCUCGAUCUCCUGACCUCGUGAUCCGCCCGCCUUGGCCUCCCAAAGUUCUGAGAUUAUGCAUUCUCUCUUUACAUCACAAUGACCAUGACCUUGGAUAUGGAGUCCACUCAAAAAUAAUCUGAAGUAAUAAACAAAUUCUACAAGGUUGAAGAAUACAAGGAGAUAUGGAAUCACCAAGGAAUACUGAAACAGAAGAACCAAGUAGGAGAGUGUGCAAUUCCCAGUCUCAUACCUCAUUGCAAAACCAAACCAAACAAGGCAUUGGCACAAGAGUAGACAUACACAUCAAUGGAACAGAACUGAGACCCCAGAAAUAAAACCAAGUGGUCAGCUGACUUUUUGCAAGCUUACCAAGACCAUUGAAUGGGGAAAAAUAUUUUUUUAAUAUACGUUGCAGGGAUAAUUGGAUAUAAACAUCCAAAAGAAUGAAUUUGGAUGCUAUCUUCCAUCAUAUGCAAAAAUAACUGAAAAUGAAUUCAAGGCUAUAACUAUUAACUCAGAAAAAAUAAUGAGCUACAUUUUCAUGA
rnacentral:lncRNA from 1 species